GUCAAAACACAGGAGGGCUUGGUCAAAAUACCUAGAACUCGAUCCACUUUUCCCCAUCGAGAUACUCCUCCCACUCCCCCGUCCAGCGCCGCCACUUCCCCCGUACCGGCCGUCCAGUUCCGAUCAGCCGCCCCCCCUAGCCGUCGAGCGCCGCCCACAUCGCCGUCGAGCGCCACCCCCCUCGCCGUCGAGCGCCACCCCAACUCGCCGGUGACGUCCAGAUCCGCCUCCCUGGCCGGCGAUUUCCAGAUCCGCCUCCCUCCCCGUGCAGAGUGGCUCAUUAUCAUUUAUUCAGACCAAAAGCGUGUUGAUAUUUCUUUUUGGAGGUCAAGUAACUAUGGAUCUAUCUUUUUGGAGGUCAAGUAACUAUGGAAGGAUGACCACGGGGAGGGAUUGCUCCUUGUAAGCAGCAAGGAAAAGAAGAAUGGCCUAUGGCAGCAACAAAGAUGAACACUUGCAAGUUCAUGAAGUUGGAAGUUUGCAAAUGUGGUUGAGAGUGGAGAUUGUGGCCCCAUCAAUAAUAUAAUGUUCAAAAGUGUCUUCUUCUGAGUAGAAGUCGUUGUAGAUACUUGGGGCCACCGUUCUCCUCACCAGACCCUUGGGUGGGCGAAGGCCCUCAAGCACCUCCACUUGAACUUCUGGUGAAUGGAACCUUCCAAGCCCAAGUGAAUGCUGAUACUCCGUUGGCAGAAUGUUCCCAUGAUGAAGACAAUCCUCAUGCUACUCAUGCGGAUGAGCAUAGUUCUAUUCCAACACAGGACAAACAUUUAGGAAUUCCAGUAGUAUAGCUAGUUAAUAUUGUGAACUGCAGUGCAGUUAGGCUUUCUUUGUCAAUUGCUUCUCCUGGCAAUUUAGGAAUCAACUAGUAUGCGUGUUUUGGACUUGGUGACACCUCCUGUUAAGUCGAGCUUCCAUGAAUCAUGACUUGGAUAUGAAUGUGUGGAUCUUGUGAACAAUGAGAUUUAAAUAAAUUGGAUGGGUACAUUGUGACCUAGGAA